rnacentral:rRNA from 1 species
CGGCAACAGCUCAAAUUUGAAAUCUGGAGCCUUCGGCUUCCGAGUUGUAAUUUGAAGAGGAUGUUUCGGUGCGACCUGGGCCUAAGUUCCUUGGAACAGGACGUCAUGGAGGGUGAGAAUCCCGUACAUGGCUGCAGGUUUGCUUCUAUGUGAAACUCCUUCGAA